UGGGUCUUCUUUUGUCCUCCUCUCUCCUUCCCCCUUACUCCCCCUUCUCUCUCUCCUCUCACGGCUCAAUCUAUUGUGCUGGCUGUGUUCCGUCAGGACCCUUCCAGAUGCCUCUGGCUGAUCUCUCCCUCAUAUUACAAUUAAAAACAAAACAAAACAAAACAAAACAAAAAACCCUUCCCCUCAAUCAAACCUAAGAGCAGCCACGUCCUCACUUUCACUGAGUCAGCGCCAAAGAAAAGCUUGGGGCCCAGACCCAGUGGCGGAUGCUGCCUCAGAGGCAAACCUGGAACCAGGCAAACAUGUCUGGCUCCUGGGCAUCCACCUCCCAUUACUGUCCUGUGACCCUAUCUGUUCCUCCCAGAUCCUAGAGGAGCAGCUCGCUGUGUCCACAGAAGCAGAGAGUGGGGAAGGACCCGGGUUCUGUGGUAAUGUUUUGGCACUUGAGGAGGAAGAGAGCACCUGGCAUGCACUCUGGAGACGUGAGCAAAUGACUCAGGGAUUCCUCACCCAGAGCAGGGGAGGGAGCUCAGGGUUGUGCCUUACUGUACCAGUGAGGCCUAUGAUAAAGCUAAUCAAUUAGGCACAACGAGAGAUUAACAUGAACUACCCAUGCUACAGGAGAAGAGCAACGUUAAAUAUAAGCUAUGAAAUGUGUUCUGCCUCCUCCCAGUGGAAUGAGACGCAAUGAGGUAAGUGACACGGACCAGACACUGUGACCAUGUGGGGUUUGGCAUGCCCCGCCUUCCCCGAAUACAAGCACUAGAAUUCUGAGCCGUCUUUGAAAGGUAAGUCGGUGGGUGUCAUGUACAUGGUGGAUUCACUGGACAUGAUUCAUGACAUCUUGGACAGGAUAGAACAAGAUGGUCUGGGGUUUCAUCUUGAUGUUCAGGUUUCGUGCAAUUUCUUUCUAGAAAUUUCCAUGUAGUGUUUCCAGACUAAGGUUGACCACAGGUAACAGACAUUAUGAGAUCAAAAUGGGGUAGAGAGGGGAAGAUGGCUCUUCCGGGAAAUGUGCAGUGGAGAGUCGAAAGAUGCAGAAAUACGUAGAGAUGAAAACAGGCACAGGAGACGCUGUUGGUGUUUGAAGUUUCCCAUCCUGCCAUUUAUGACUGCAGUAAGGUUCCUCCACAUGGGGAUCACGCCUGUCUUUCCCAGUGGCCUGUGGAGAAAGCACCUUGCCUUGCCAGUAAGCACCAUGAAAAUCCUGGUUCCCAUGCUUAAAAUUGCAUUGUGGGAGGAUGAACUACGCCCCAUGCAGGCAUUAGGCUGGCCCCUCCUCUUUUUAUCCAGGAGACUGGACUCCUGCAGAAGAGGUAUUUGGAGCAUAGGCCUGUGGCCUGUGGGGACAGUGCCAGUUCCCAUUGUUCCCAGACUGCUCGAUACCUCCCCCUGUCCUUAGGAGACUACUUAAGAUGGGUCUGAGAGUCAGGGAGACAUUGAAAAUGGAUGUGGGUUCGUUAGCACUCUCUGGAGAAAGGAAUCCCUGGAGGCUAAAGGCAGAGCUACCUACAGAGGCUGGCAGUCACUUGUCACCGCAGCGCAGCCGCCAGUCCACUGAGCGUGUGGAGGCCUGUCCCUAGGUUGCCAAGGUGAUCCGCAGGCUCCUGCCUGUGAGGAUGGCUGCAGGGGUUGACAGGCAUUUUUUUUUCUUUCUUGGCCAGCAGUAGGGUAUUCAUUUUCUCUGACCUGGUUUCCAUGACUUCGGGCAUUGUUGCUGUUUGUUUAAAAGGAGCAGUGCACCAGCUUGUGUCAAGGGAUGUCGAGGACAUCAUUGGGCCCGCUAGGAAAAAUGGCCUACAUUACUGUCAUGCCCCAAACACCCUGAAGACCAUACACAAGAACCUCAUGACAGCCAGGAGCCAUGCAAAGAUGUGCAGCAGUGUGAGCCUCGGCACACACUGUGAGGCUGGCGCCUCAUCUGUGAUCUAGCGAAGCCACAGGAAACACAGGAAAAGGACAGGCCCAGAGGAAACACACAUUGCCUGUGGUUCAAGGCUCCGUGUUAGUGCUUAGAUCAAGUCUGGACUCAGCCUGAGCCUCCUGGAACGAGCUGGACCAAAGGUGUUACAGGCCUGGGUACGUGUCCCCUCCAGUCUCAAAACCAGGAAUCCACACUUGUGUUUCAGGGCCAGCUCCCCAGAAGAUACUUUUCAACCAGGUACUGAGUGGGGACAGACAAGGUGCUGGAGAGGCAAACUUAAAGCAAAAGGCAAGUUCAGAGCUGGGAGGGUGACAGAGAGGCUGGGCUCAUGGAAACCAACGGGGAUAGCACUUGGAGAGGGGCACAAUCCUGAAGACAUCUAUUCCCUGUGCCUGCCAGACUCCAAGGCUCCCCCCUCAGUCGCCUCCUCUCACAGAGAAUGCCCAGGAACUGGACACUGGGCUACUGGAGUGUUCCUGGAGGUAGGGUGUCCUGGGACUGGUCCUCUGUACCCACUCUGUCUCUUACCCUUUUUCUGUGAGUCGCAUCCUAUCCUCUUGGACCUCAACCUCAUCCACGGCAGUCUUCCCACGUCACUAAGAGUCCUUUAGGACUAGAUGUUCUCCAAGCUCCACCCCCAAAACCAAACAAGAAAGGAGAGAAGGACCAGCAAGGAGAAACUCUCAAUGACCUCAAAGGCUGGCUCCCGUGUAGGCCCCAUAAGAAGCAGGCCGAGACCGGGCCUUGCCUGGCACGUCUCACUCAGGAUGCCAGGGAGUGACACCUUGACUUCACUUCUUGGGCCACUAGGAUACUGGGCCCCUUCCUCACUUUCUGACCUUGGGUGGAGGGAGGGAGGGAAAGUAUGUGGCUAAAACACAGGACUUCUGCUUCCUCAGCUAGCUUUUCUUUCUUUUGGAAGAGCGUAGGACUCUCCAGUAGGCUGAACCUUUCAGGACCCUGGCUGCUCAUUCUGCCACAGUUCCCACACUGGGAGGAACAGCUGGGGGUCAAGGUGGGGUCAGAAGAUCCCCGAAAACGAAACACAUGCCUAUCAAACGUAACACAAGAACGUAUGAGACUCAUACUGGACAGACAGACUCCAAAGGACCCUGCACCCUAUGUGACUGGCUUCUCUCAGGUGUGUUUACAGAGAGUGGACAGAAGGAAGGGUUCCUUCUGUGGGUGUCGGAAGUGCGUCCAGAGCUCUGUGGCUUAGUCUGGGGUCUUUCUGGAGAUGGGGAACUCCCAGGAAUGAACACAUCCUAACUCAUAUGCCGGAAAUGCCAACUGAUUCAUGGGCAAUGGUCUUGGGGCUCUGGAACUCGCUAAUAUCAGGGCUCCCCUCUUCACACAGCAGCUGCAGGCUAAGGACUGAAGUGAAAUGUUCUUUUCAGCUAUGGCAAGGACUCUGUGGAGAACAGGAUUGCUGGAUGAGACUUAGAGGCCAGGGUGCUCUGUCCUAGCCAGGCUCUAACCUUCACAGGCCCCUGGUGUCCGCUGCAUCAGGUCCAUCCAGAAGCAAAAGCCUCAGUGACCACAUCAGCUAUGUGUGGGUCAUGCCUGACUGACCCAAGCUGGGUCACAUGACUGUCCCAGUGAAUGGCAACUAUGGCAGCCUAGUUGGCCACAUUGCACCCAGCAGAUCCACACAACAUUUAGAGUAAAGGUUUUAGACCUUUGCCGCUUCAUGAAACCCUAAGUGGGGACAAGGCUAUAGGCAGUUAGGGCAGGCCAGUGGAGACAGCUGGGCACCACGACCUGGCAACAUCUGGAACUUCUCUAAGUGUGAUUGCACUGACAGAACAGCAUCUAUUGCCACAGGUCAAAGGUGGUCCCGGGGGGCCUGAGACACCUGGCAGGGAUGGUCAGCUAAGAGGCAAAGAUGGCCUCUUCCUUCCACAUAGGCUCCAAGGAACCUUGCCAGGCCCUACACACCCACCCAUUAGUGCUGGCAGAGAGGCUGGGGACAGUGAAUCAGCAAGCCCGGCCUGCCCCACAGCAGGUGACCAGGUUGUAACUGCCUUAGCCUCAGUCUGGAAGAACUUCAGGAGAGCCAUCUACAUUGGGGAGGGUGGGGUUCCGGAAGGUCUGGAGGACCUGUCACAUGACUCUGAGGCAGGGUGGUGUCAGAAAGCUGGUGGCACAUUCCCCUGGACACUAGUGCUGCUCUUCCAGAAAGGGACUAUACCCUGGGGAGGGCAACCAAUUUGAGCCUAUCUACAGGCUGUGGCUGACCAUGUCGUGGCCUGGGACAACCCACUCCACCUUGUCAAGUGUAAACGCUGCCCUGUGUAAUCGUCCCCUCUGGGGCAUUCGCAAGUUAUGCAGAUAAUAAGAGAGAAAUGAAGAUCAAUGACAAAAGGCUGUGGUGGGCGUACAGAAAGGGCUAUGGAGCAAAGGUGCAACUCACCCGAGCCUGGGGUACAGCCACACCCCAGAGGGUUUAGAAAGCCUUUGCAAUUUGUUUUCUGUCUCAGACGUCACUUAGAAACACUAGGCCCAUAAUGAGACCUUUGCUACCAAAUUGAAAUUGCUUUAUGACUUCAAAUAUGCACGGAGUUAGCCGGGGUUGAGGUAGGCAAGGUUAUCAGGACUGCAUAUCUUCCAUGGUAGUUUCAAAGAUCAGUGUGCAUUUCUGAAUGCUGCGAACCGAAAGUUUUCCUGGUGGUGAUAUGGCACUUGCAGUCCCAACUAUCCUGGGACAGGGGGCUUGCUUGAGCCCCUGGGUGCACAGCUGGCCUGAGGAAGAAAUUGAAAACUCCAUCUCCAAAGAGAAAUUGAAUAUAUAGUUAUGAGAAAUAUAUAUUUAUAUGAAAUAAUAAACAGUAAGGGCAAUCCAUCCAAAUUCAUUGUUCUGGUGAUAAUCAAGCAUG
rnacentral:sRNA from 1 species